rnacentral:misc_RNA from 1 species
CAAGUCCACGUGCACGGUCCCUCGACCUCUUUCAUCCAUUACACACACUUGUGCACUAUAGGACGAGGCCUCCCAUGAGGAGCCGCUCCAUGUAACCUCUCCUCAGGGAGUGGGGGUGGAGUCGAGGCCUCGCUUCCUCUUUCAUACAACAUCCAGUCUUAACGCAUGUAAUCGAUUUUCUUAAACGAAAUACAACUUUCAACAACGGAUCUCUUGGCUUUCGCAUCGAUGAAGGACGCCGCGAAAGUGCGAAACGUAAUGUGAAUUGCAGAAUUCAGUGAAUCAUCGAAUCUUUGAACGCAUCUUGCGCUCCUUGGUAUUCCGAGGAGCAUGCCUGUUUGAGUGUCGUGAAAUAACAUCGACCCCAGUCCUUUGCGAGGCGAAGGGUCGGAUUUGGAUGUUGCAGUCCUUUACGAGGUCUGCUCGUCUUGAAAUGCAUUAGCGUUCCGUCGCGAGAUCGGUCACAGCGGUGUGAUAAGUCUUUAUACGCCGUUCCGUCUCUCGUGUCAAGGAUGCUUCUAAUCGUCUUCGGACAACUUCAUGUCGUCUGACCUCAAAUCAGGU